rnacentral:misc_RNA from 1 species
AAACCCCUCUCAACUGCCCGGCGAUCCCCACAACAAAGCUCAAGCACGCAAUCCCUCAGAUCUACUCCGCCGCGCCCGCCGCCGCCGGAGGUCCUCUCUCCCCUCUAUCCCCGCCGCAUUCCCCGCCAUGGCUCAGGUCGUCGCUACUCGAUCCCUCACCCCCACCUCCCCAUGCCCUAGAUCCGCAGCCUUAGCCGAGCUCAAGCCGUCAAUUCUCCCGGCAAGUCUCCGCUCAGCUCAACUGCGGAGCCUCAACAAGCCCCGCCGCUCCUCGGUCGUUGCCGCGGUCACCGUCGUCCCCGUCUCGCCCGAAGACCUCAAGGAGG